CAGGCCAGCAUCAGUUUGGGCGGUUGGAUAAAGACCUCUGUCACGUACCUUCUCUCGGGAAGGCCUUAUAGGGGAGGUGUCAUGCAACCAGCCUGGACUGAGGUCCGCGCAUCUGCUAGGAUGCUGGCGUAAUGGCUGUAAGCGG
rnacentral:rRNA from 1 species